rnacentral:rRNA from 1 species
CAGCCGCCGCGGUAAUACGUAGGGUGCGAGCGUUAAUCGGAAUUACUGGGCGUAAAGCGCACGCAGGCGGUCUGACAAGUCAGAUGUGAAAUCCCCGGGCUUAACCUGGGAACUGCAUUUGAAACUGUCAGGCUGGAGUCUUGUAGAGGGGGGUAGAAUUCCAGGUGUAGCGGUGAAAUGCGUAGAGAUCUGGAGGAAUACCGGUGGCGAAGGCGGCCCCCUGGCCUAAUACUGACGCUGAGGUACGAAAGCAUGGGGAGCAAACAGGAUUAGAUACCCGAGUAGUCCCUGUCUCUUAUAC